rnacentral:rRNA from 1 species
GAUGAACGCUGGCGGCGUGCCUAAUAUAUGCAAGUAGAACGCUGAAGGAAGGAGCUUGCUCUUUCCGGAUGAGUUGCGAACGGGUGAGUAACGCGUAGGUAACCUGCCUGGUAGCGGGGGAUAACUAUUGGAAACGAUAGCUAAUACCGCAUAACAGCAGAUGUUGCAUGAUAUCUACUUAAAAGGUGCAAUUGCACCACUACCAGAUGGACCUGCGUUGUAUUAGCUAGUUGGUGAGGUAACGGCUCACCAAGGCGACGAUGCAUAGCCGACCUGAGAGGGUGAUCGGCCACACUGGGACUGAGACACGGCCCAGACGCCUACGGGAGGCAGCAGGAGGGAAUCUUCGGCAAUGGACGGAAGUCCGACCGAGCAACGCCGCGUGAGUGAAGAAGGUUUUCGGAUCGUAAAGCUCUGUUGUAAGAGAAGAACGAGUGUGAGAGUGGAAAGUUCACACUGUGACGGUAUCUUACCAGAAAGGGACGGCUAACUACGUG